GAAAUAUUUGCAGUGAGAUCCCAGGACAAAAUAUGAGCAGUGACAGGCCCUCUAGUCAACGGGGUGUCCAGUGAAUAAUCCAAGUACAUUCUAAAAGAGUCUGAAACAAUCAUGAGGACAUCAAUGAUACAUCAUCACACGGGGAUGCAGAGGCACACGGAGUCGGAGAUAACAGGAUCUGCGACAUGGUCAUAGACAUGGUCACACGGGGAUGCAGAGGCGCGCUGAGUCGAAGAUAACAGGAUCUGCAACAUGGUCAUAGACAUGGUCACACGGGGAUGCAGAGGCGCGCUGAGUCGAAGAUAACAGGAUGAAAAGGAAGACUCAACUACUUCUUGUGCUCGCUAAAGUGCAGUAGCAAUAAGACUGAAAUUCUAAAUAAAUCUCCUAUUUGC